rnacentral:rRNA from 1 species
UACGUAGGGUGCAAGCGUUAAUCGGAAUUACUGGGCGUAAAGCGUGCGCAGGCGGCUUUGCAAGACAGAUGUGAAAUCCCCGGGCUUAACUUGGGAACUGCAUUUGUGACUGCAUGGCUGGAGUGCGGCAGAGGGGGAUGGAAUUCCGCGUGUAGCAGUGAAAUGCGUAGAUAUGCGGAGGAACACCGAUGGCGAAGGCAAUCCCCUGGGCCUGCACUGACGCUCAUGCACGAAAGCGUGGGGAGCAAACGGG